rnacentral:lncRNA from 1 species
AACACAUAAAGUCCUGAGCAUACAAAGUUGAGUAAGACACAAUCUGUACCCUUCAGGAUUUCAAAGGAAAGACAGAUAUGUUAGCUUGUGUGUAAAAUACAAACAGACAAGUGCUACACCAGCCUGGCCAACAUGGCGAAGCCCUGUCUCUACUAAAAAUACGAAAAUUAGCCAGGCGUGGUGGCAGGCGCCUGUAAUCCCAGCUACUUGGGAGGCUAAGCCAGGAGCACAGCACUCCAGCCAGGGGGACAGAGCCAGACUCUGUUUCAAAAAAAAAAA